rnacentral:rRNA from 1 species
AACUAUAACGGUCCUAAGGUAGCGAAAUUCCUUGUCAGGUAAGUUCUGACCCGCACGAAAGGUGUAACGAUUUGAGCACUGUCUCGACAACACGCCCGGUGAAAUUGAAGAACCAGUGAAGAUACUGGUUACCCGCAACAGGACGGAAAGACCCCAUGGAGCUUUACUGCAGCUUAAUAUUGGGAUUCGGUAUUGUAUGUACAGGAUAGGAGGGAGACUAAGAAGCUAGCACGCCAGUGUUGGUGGAGUCGAUGGUGGGAUACCUCUCUUAUAAUACUGAAUUUCUAACCUACUUCCGUGAUCCGGAAGAGGGACAUUGUUAGGCGGGCAGUUUGACUGGGGCGGUCGCCUCCGAAAGAGUAACGGAGGCGCUCAAAGGUCUUCUCAGAAUGAUUGGAAACCAUUCAAAGAGUGUAAAGGCAAAAGAAGGCUUGACUGCGAGAGUGACAACUCGAGCAGGUACGAAAGUAGGACUUAGUGAUCCGGUGGUAACAAGUGGGAGUGCCAUCGCUUAACGGAUAAAAGCUACCCUGGGGAUAACAGGCUUAUCUCCCCCAAGAGUUCACAUCGACGGGGAGGUUUGGCACCUCGAUGUCGGCUCAUCGCAUCCUGGGGCUGUAGUAGGUCCCAAGGGUUGGGCUGUUCGCCCAUUAAAGCGGUACGCGAGCUGGGUUCAGAACGUCGUGAGACAGUUCGGUCCCUAUCCGUUGUGGGCGUAGGAAAUUUGAUAGGAGCUGUCCUUAGUACGAGAGGACCGGGAUGGACGAACCUCUGGUGAAUCUGUUGGUAACCAAUGCCACAGCAGAAUAGCCAAGUUUGGAAUGGAUAAACGCUGAAGGCAUCUAAGCGUGAAGCCAACCUAAAGACUAGAUUUCCCAUGCGAAAGCAGUAAGACUCCUUGUAGACGACAAGGUUGAUAGGCCAGAGAUGUAAGCACAGUAAUGUGUUCAGUUGACUGGUACUAAUAAGUCGAGGGCUUGACCAA